rnacentral:misc_RNA from 1 species
UCCGGUUUAACACCGGCGGUCUCGCUAGAGUCCCCGACAUGACUCGCUGGCAACUAGCGACAAGGGUUUCGCUCGUUAAGGGACUUAACCCGACACUUCACAGCACGAGCUGACGACAGCCAUGCAGCACCUGUGCACGUUCCACCCGAAGGCGUGGCUCCCCUUUCAGGGAGUUAAUCCGUGCAUGUCAAGACUAGGAUAAGGUUCUUCGCGUAGCCUCGAAUUAAGCCACAUCCUCCACCGCUUGUGUGAGCCCCCGUCAAUUUCUUUGAGUUUCAGCCUUGCGACCAUACUCCCCAGGCGGAGCACUUAACACUUUCGCUACGGCUGAAAGGCUAUGGAGGACCCUUCAACCCAGUGCUCAUCGUUUACGGCUAGGACUAC